rnacentral:tRNA from 1 species
GGGCCGGUAGUUAAACCCGGUAUAACGCGCCCAUGGCAUGGGUGAGGCUCGGGGUUCAAAUCCCCGCCGGUCCA